rnacentral:rRNA from 1 species
UGGGGAAUUUUGGACAAUGGGCGCAAGCCUGAUCCAGCCAUGCCGCGUGAGUGAAGAAGGCCUUCGGGUUGUAAAGCUCUUUCGGCGGGGAAGAAAUUGCACUCUCUAAUACAGGGUGUAGAUGACGGUACCCGCAUAAGAAGCACCGGCUAACUACGUGCCAGCAGCCGCGGUAAUACGUAGGGUGCGAGCGUUAAUCGGAAUUACUGGGCGUAAAGCGUGCGCAGGCGGUUGUGUAAGUCAGAUGUGAAAUCCCCGGGCUCAACCUGGGAACUGCAUUUGAGACUGCACGGCUAGAGUGUGACAGAGGGGGGUAGAAUUCCACGUGUAGCAGUGAAAUGCGUAGAGAUGUGGAGGAAUACCGAUGGCGAAGGCAGCCCCCUGGGUUACUACUGACGCU